rnacentral:rRNA from 1 species
UACGUAGGUCCCGAGCGUUGUCCGGAUUUAUUGGGCGUAAAGCGAGCGCAGGUGGUUUAUUAAGUCUGGUGUAAAAGGCAGUGGCUCAACCAUUGUAUGCAUUGGAAACUGGUAGACUUGAGUGCAGGAGAGGAGAGUGGAAUUCCAUGUGUAGCGGUGAAAUGCGUAGAUAUAUGGAGGAACACCGGUGGCGAAAGCGGCUCUCUGGCCUGUAACUGACACUGAGGCUCGAAAGCGUGGGGACCAAACAGG